GUGAAUCAUCGAAUCUUUGAACGCACCUUGCGCUCCUUGGUAUUCCGAGGAGCAUGCCUGUUUGAGUGUCAUUAAAUUCUCAACCAUGACUUGUUGACAUGGCUUGGGAGUUUGGGGGGUUGUGCUGGGCUUUGUUUUGUCAGCUCUCCUGAAAUACAUUAGCGGUGGACAAGCAAGGCCUUCCGACGUGAUAAUGAUCGUCGUGGGGCGGAGCAUCAACGUCUGUCUGCUUCUAAAUCCCAGAUGCCUUAGCUAGACAUCAUUUCGAACGCUUGACCUCAAAUCAGGUAGGACUACCCGCUGAACUUAAGCAUAUCAAUAAGCGGAGG
rnacentral:rRNA from 1 species